rnacentral:rRNA from 1 species
AGUGAACGCUGGCGGUAGGCCUAACACAUGCAAGUCGAACGGCAGCACAGUAAGAGCUUGCUCUUACGGGUGGCGAGUGGCGGACGGGUGAGGAAUACAUCGGAAUCUACUUUUUCGUGGGGGAUAACGUAGGGAAACUUACGCUAAUACCGCAUACGACCUACGGGUGAAAGCAGGGGAUCUUCGGACCUUGCGCGAUUGAAUGAGCCGAUGUCGGAUUAGCUAGUUGGCGGGGUAAAGGCCCACCAAGGCGACGAUCCGUAGCUGGUCUGAGAGGAUGAUCAGCCACACUGGAACUGAGACACGGUCCAGACUCCUACGGGAGGCAGCAGUGGGGAAUAUUGGACAAUGGGCGCAAGCCUGAUCCAGCCAGACCGCGUGGGUGAAGAAGGCCUUCGGGUUGUAAAGCCCUUUUGUUGGGAAAGAAAAGCAGCAGGUUAAUACCCCGCCGUUCUGACGGUACCCAAAGAAUAAGCACCGGCUAACUUCGUG